rfam:Gossypium raimondii Chr01_contig_10, whole genome shotgun sequence.
UUUUAAAAAUUUCAUCUCUUUUUACUAUUAAAAACUGGUGUGGCUGACAAAAUAACCAGAUAGUGAAAUGUGGCAUGCCACGUGUACCUCAUGGUAACACACAGGGACCAGUUUUUAACAGUAAAAAUGGAUGAAAUUUUUAAUA